CGCCAGACUCCUACGGGAGGCAGCAGUGGGGAAUAUUGGACAAUGGGGGGAACCCUGAUCCAGCGACGCCGCGUGAGUGAAGAAGUAUUUCGGUAUGUAAAGCUCUCUCAGCAGGGAAGAAAAUGACGGUACCUGACUAAGAAGCCCCGGCUAACUACGUGCCAGCAGCCGCGGUAAUACGUAGGGGGCAAGCGUUAUCCGGAUUUACUGGGUGUAAAGGGAGCGUAGACGGCGAUGCAAGCCAGAUGUGAAAGCCCGGGGCUCAACCCCGGGACUGCAUUUGGAACUGUAUAGCUAGAGUGUCGGAGAGGCAGGCGGAAUUCCUAGUGUAGCGGUGAAAUGCGUAGAUAUUAGGAGGAACACCAGUGGCGAAGGCGGCUUACUGGACUGUAACUGACGUUGAGGCUCGAAAGCGUGGGGAGCAAACAGGAUUAGAUACCCCGGUAAG
rnacentral:rRNA from 1 species